ACUAGACGGCAGUGCUGAAAGCACGCAGAGCUACAUGAAGACGGGCUGACGUUGGCGUGAAGGCCGGAGACUGGUAAAACAGCAGCAUCUGCCACCCAAUGAGAGCAAGCUGGCCCUGGCUGCUCAGAGUCCAUCAAGAGCAGCCCUAAUUUUCACACUGUAGUUACUUGGAAAUGUGCAGCCGUGUCGACAGAGACAAGAAGCCAAAGUAACAGGGACCUCACGUUCAUGCAGCUAUCAGAACGCAACUGAAAUGAAGACAGCGACAGAUCAGAUCCACACAUAGACAAGGCCUCACUGCUGGGAUUAGGCUCUGUGCCCACUAUUUUGGUCCACAUAAAGGCUGUUAGCAAGAAAGUAUUACUAAUGUAAACUAUGAGGAAUACUGGCUCAGCCGCUCCUGUGAGAAGCUUUGCACUCUCCACCGCCCCCCAGCAAUGCACAGCCCCACCUUUUCCAGCGCUUCACGGACCACUCUCUCUGUUUCCCGCUUGUGGUCCGACUUCAUCCUGUCUUUAAAGUCAUUAAAAAUUUUGGUGUA
rnacentral:lncRNA from 1 species